rnacentral:lncRNA from 1 species
UGGCAGGGUCCGGUGGAGGCGGCGGCCGAGGCAGGCGAGGCCCGGGAGGCCCAUCUCAUCGCAGCCGGCCGGGUCUUGCCCUGCAGCCGGGGCGCCGCAUCCAUGUUCGACACCACACCCCACUCUGGCCGGAGCUCACCGAGCAGCUCCCCGUCUCUUCGGAAGCGGCUUCAGCUCUUGCCCCCAAGCCGGCCGCCUUCGGCUCCUGAGCCAGAGCCAGGCACCAUGGUGGAGAAGGGGUCUGACAGUUCCUCUUCCACGUGGGUGCUGAACGUCUACAGCAGAUGCUCUUCUCGGACUCUCCAUUCCUGCAAGGCUUCCUGCAGCAGCGCAAGUUCACAGAUGUGACCUUGAGCCCUUGGAGCAGUGACAGCAAGUGCCACCAGCGCAGAGUCCUGACCUACACCAUCCCCAUUAGCAACCAGCUAGGCCCCAAGAGCGCCUCUGUGGUGGAGACACAGACGCUGUUCCGACGUGGCCCACAGGCGGGCGGGUGCGUGGUGGACUCUGAGGUGCUCACCCAGGGCAUCCCGUACCAGGACUACUUCUACACUGCCCACCGAUACUGUAUCCUGGGUCUGGCCCGGAACAAGGCCCGGCUUCGGUGAUCCCGAGUGUGCCCUAUCUCUACCUCACCUCAGUGGUCAGGGCUGCCUCCACCCAGCAUUGGAAGAGUGUAUCCUCAGAGAUCCGCUACCGAAAGCAACCGUGGAGCCUUGUGAAGUCUCUCAUUGAGAAGAGCUCGUGGACUGGCAUCGAAGAUUAUUUCCACCACCUGGAUCGAGAACUGGCCAAGGCAGAGAAGGUGUCCCUGGAGGAAGGGGGGAAAGAUGCUCGUGGGCUGCUGUCAGGCCUGCGGAGGAGGAAGCGACCCCUCCAACUAACUUAUUUUGCCCAGCUGGGGUUGUGGGGGACACCUUUUGGGGUGCACGAGACCCUCUGGGUUUAAUGUAUUAUAUUUAUUUGGGAAUAGCAACCCCAAUAAAGGGUUGGAAAUGGC